rnacentral:rRNA from 1 species
AAGCAAUUAUACAGCGAAACUGCGAAUGGCUCAUUAUAUAAGUUAUCGUUUAUUUGAUAGUACCUUACUACAUGGAUAACCGUGGUAAUUCUAGAGCUAAUACAUGCUAAAAAUCCCAACUUCGGAAGGGAUGUAUUUAUUAGAUUAAAAACCAAUGCCCUCCGGGGCUCACUGGUGAUUCAUAAUAACUUCUCGAAUCGCAUGGCCUUGCGCCGGCGAUGGUUCAUUCAAAUUUCUUCCCUAUCAACUUUCGAUGUUUGGGUAUUGGCCAAACAUGGUUGCAACGGGUAACGGAGGGUUAGGGCUCGACCCCGGAGAAGGAGCCUGAGAAACGGCUACUACAUCCAAGGAAGGCAGCAGGCGCGCAAAUUACCCAAUCCCGACUCGGGGAGGUAGUGACAAUAAAUACUGAUACAGGGCUCUUUUGGGUCUUGUAAUUGGAAUGAGUACAAUUUAAAUCCCUUAACGAGGAACAAUUGGAGGGCAAGUCUGGUGCCAGCAGCCGCGGUAAUUCCAGCUCCAAUAGCGUAUAUUAAAGUUGUUGUGGUUAAAAAGCUCGUAGUUGAACCUUGGGCCUGGCUGGCCGGUCCGCCUCACCGCGUGUACUGGUCCGGCCGGGCCUUUCCCUCUGUGGAACCCCAUGCCCUUCACUGGGUGUGGCGGGGAAACAGGACUUUUACUGUGAAAAAAUUAGAGUGCUCCAGGCAGGCCUAUGCUCGAAUACAUUAGCAUGGAAUAAUAGAAUAGGACGUGUGGUUCUAUUUUGUUGGUUUCUAGGACCGCCGUAAUGAUUAAUAGGGACAGUCGGGGGCAUCAGUAUUCAAUUGUCAGAGGUGAAAUUCUUGGAUUUAUUGAAGACUAACUACUGCGAAAGCAUUUGCCAAGGAUGUUUUCAUUAAUCAGGAACGAAAGUUAGGGGAUCGAAGACGAUCAGAUACA